UACAACGGGAUACCCGAGGGAAACUUCGGUUAAUACGGUAUAAGACCACACUACCGCAUGGUAGAGGGGUAAAAGGGGCAACCUGGUAUGAGAUGGACUCGCGUCGCAUUAGCUAGUUGGUGAGGUAACGGCCCACCAAGGCGACGAUGCGUAGCCGACCUGAGAGGGUGAUCGGCCACAUUGGGACUGAGAUACGGCCCAGACUCCUACGGGAGGCAGCAGUGGGGAAUAUUGGGCAAUGGAGGAAACUCUGACCCAGCAAUGCCGCGUGAAUGAGGAAGGUCUUCGGAUUGUAAAGUUCUUUAGUCAGGGAAGAAGUCAAUGACGGUACCUGAAGAAUAAGCUCCGGCUAACUACGUGCCAGCAGCCGCGGUAAUACGUAGGGAGCAAGCGUUGUUCGGAAUGACUGGGCGUAAAGGGUGCGUAGGCGGUUGUACAAGUUAGAAGUGAAAUACCCAGGGCUUAACUCGGGUGCUGCUUCUAAAACUGUAUGACUUGAGUGCAGUAGAGGUUAGUGGAAUUCCUAGUGUAGCGGUGGAAUGCGUAGAUAUUAGGAGGAACACCAGAGGCGAAGGCGGCUAACUGGACUGCAACUGACGCUGAGGCACGAAAGUGUGGGGAGCAAACAGGAUUAGAUACCCUGGUAGUCCACACUGUAAACGAUGGAUACUAGAUGUAGGAGGUAUCGACUCCUUCUGCGUCGCAGU
rnacentral:rRNA from 1 species